UGGGGAAUAUUGAACAAUGGGCGCAAGCCUGAUCCAGCCAUGCCGCGUGAGUGAUGAAGGCCCUAGGGUUGUAAAGCUCUUUCACCGGUGAAGAUAAUGACGGUAACCGGAGAAGAAGCCCCGGCUAACUUCGUGCCAGCAGCCGCGGUAAUACGAAGGGGGCUAGCGUUGUUCGGAUUUACUGGGCGUAAAGCGCACGUAGGCGGACUUUUAAGUCAGGGGUGAAAUCCCGGGGCUCAACCCCGGAACUGCCUUUGAUACUGGAAGUCUUGAGUAUGGUAGAGGUGAGUGGAAUUCCGAGUGUAGAGGUGAAAUUCGUAGAUAUUCGGAGGAACACCAGUGGCGAAGGCGGCUCACUGGACCAUUACUGACGCUGAGGUGCGAAAGCGUGGGGAGCAAACAGG
rnacentral:rRNA from 1 species